rnacentral:rRNA from 1 species
GAGUUUGAUCGUGGCUCAGAUUGAACGCUGGCGGCAUGCCUUACACAUGCAAGUCGAACGGUAACAGGUCUUCGGAUGCUGACGAGUGGCGAACGGGUGGGUAAUACAUCGGAACGUGCCCAGACGUGGGGGAUAACGAGGCGAAAGCUUUGCUAAUACCGCAUACGAUCUAAGGAUGAAAGCAGGGGACCGCAAGGCCUUGCGCGUUUGGAGCGGCCGAUGGCAGAUUAGGUAGUUGGUGGGAUAAAAGCUUACCAAGCCGACGAUCUGUAGCUGGUCUGAGAGGACGACCAGCCACACUGGGACUGAGACACGGCCCAGACUCCUACGGGAGGCAGCAGUGGGGAUUUUGGACAAUGGGCGAAAGCCUGAUCCAGCAAUGCCGCGUGCAGGAUGAAGGCCUCGG